GAAGGAGGGCCCUUCGAGGUCGGCAAUCAGGUGUUGAUCUCAAGCCACCGCAAGCUGCUGUUCUCAAAAGCGAUGGUGCUGAUCGCUCGAUUUCGGACGCCGCCGGCGUUCGC
rnacentral:ncRNA from 1 species